rnacentral:rRNA from 1 species
GACGUAGGGCGCGAGCGUUGUCCGGAUUUAUUGGGCGUAAAGAGCUCGUAGGCGGCUCAUUGCGUCAAGCCGUGAAAACCAGCAGCUCAACUGUUGGCUUGCGGUUGAUACGGGUGGGCUGGAGUUCGGUAGGGGAGACUGGAAUUCCUGGUGUAGCGGUGAAAUGCGCAGAUAUCAGGAGGAACACCGGUGGCGAAGGCGGCAUCCUGGACCGAUACUGACGCUGAUGAGCGAAAGCCAGGGGAGCAAACGGG